rnacentral:rRNA from 1 species
CUGUAAUCGAUAAUCCACGUUGGACCUUACUUAAAUUUGUUUAUCAAUUUAUAUACCGUCGUUAUAAGAAUAUUUUAUUAGAAUAAUAAUUUUCUAUAAUUUUUAUAAAAAUUUAUAUCAGAUCAAGGUGUAGUUUAUGUUUAAGUAGAGAUGGGUUACAAUAAAUUUAUUUAAAUGAAUUAGUUUUUGAAAUAAAAUUAUGAAGGUGGAUUUGAAUGUAAAAUUAUAAAGAUUAAUAAUUUGAUUUUAGCUCUAAAAUAUGUACACAUCGCCCGUCACUCUUAUUAUUAAGGUAAGAUAAGUCGUAACAUAGUAGAUGUACUGGAAAGUGUAUCUAGAAUGCAAUUUAAAGCUUAAAUAGUAAAGCAUUUCAUUUACAUUGAAAAGAUUUUUGUGCAAUUCAAUAUAAAUUGAAUAAUUUUUAUUUAUUAAUAAAUUUAUUUAUGAAUUUUUAUAUAUUAGAAAUAACUAUAAAAAUAAUGUUUUAGUAUUGUUUAAAGAAUAAAUAAUAUUUAUAAUAGUGUAAUAGUAUUGUGAAAGAAAAU